AAGCCUCAAUUUUUCAUUUCUUAAGAUAAAACCAGUCCCCUACUCUUUUGUAAGUGAAGAAAACGCAAAUUUUCCUAAAAAAGAACACAACAAGAAAACCCUAAAGACUUAACCUUCCCUUAUUCUUCCCUUCUUUUGUCGCAUUGCCAAAAUUCAUUUCAACGGUGGACCUGUUAAAACAAAUCCUUUAUUCUCGUCUUGACUUCGUUCCCCCGGUCCAUCAUCUUUUGAGUUCCUCGGAGCUUUGUUAACCCGUCUUCUUUUUUAGACUUAGUCCAUCAAACAUCCAUACAUUUUCAUUAAUCAGUUCUUCUUUGGUCUCUAGCUAUGAUAGGUUCAACCUCCAAUGGAGUUUUUUCCACCUAGAAAGUCGAAAAAUCGCUUCCUCUGCCCUAUGCAGCCAUUGUAUGCGCCGCUCCGUUGGCUUUUUGCGUCUCGGAAGAUGUAGCUUACAAACUCAUCUUCUUCUCCACAAAGUGGGCAUAAAGCAUCAUAUAUCAGUCUACGACCUUUUAAAUUACUUAAAGUAGGCAAGAAAUUAUUUGUAAUUCUCCAUAGAUUAAUUCGAACAUUACUGAGAAUUUUUAGACUCUAAAUUUUUGUAAAAUAACUUCUAGUUAGAUCCUAGUCUGUUGUAAUUUGAUUUCCCAUCAUAUUUAAAUCUUCUAAGACACUUUUUGUAA